rnacentral:rRNA from 1 species
UACGAGGGGGCUAGCGUUGCUCGGAAUCACUGGGCGUAAAGCGCACGUAGGCGGGUUGCUAAGUCAGGGGUGAGAUCCUGGGGCUCAACUCCAGAACUGCCUUUGAUACUGGCGACCUCGAGUCCGGGAGAGGUGAGUGGAACUCCGAGUGUAGAGGUGAAAUUCGUAGAUAUUCGGAAGAACACCAGUGGCGAAGGCGGCUCACUGGCCCGGUACUGACGCUGAGGUGCGAAAGCGUGGGGAGCAAACAGG